AUAUCUUUCUCAGCCUUUUGGCUAAGAUUAAGUGUAGUAUCUAUUCUUAUCAGUUUAAUAUCUGAUACGUGGGCCAAUAGUCCACACGAUAUUAAAUUCAAUUUUUUAGGGGGAGGGUCCAUCGCGGUAGCUAUUGGGAUCCUUGAGCGUCGUCCAUGUGUUGCACUACUGCUUGGUCCUGGCGCACCCAUC